rnacentral:rRNA from 1 species
UACGGAGGGUGCAAGCGUGAUCCGGAUUUACUGGGUUUAAAGGGUGCGUAGGCGGGCUUUUAAGUCAGUGGUGAAAUCUCCGGGCUCAACCCGGAAAUUGCCAUUGAUACUAUUAGUCUUGAAUUAAGUUGAGGUGGGCGGAAUGUGUCAUGUAGCGGUGAAAUGCUUAGAUAUGACACAGAACACCGAUUGCGAAGGCAGCUCGCUAAACUUAUAGUGACGCUGAGGCACGAAAGCGUGGGGAUCAAACAGG